CUUCCUCUCCUGUUGACAAAGACACCUGUCAACCUCUUGCAGCUCGGUGAUUGUCAAGCAGGGCGACAGCAACAUGUCAAACUGGAGCAGGGG